rnacentral:pre_miRNA from 1 species
AGUGCAACUGCUGGGUUGUAGGGUAGUUCUAUUUUUAAUUUUUUGAGGAAUCACCAGACUGUUUUCCAGAAUGGCUGCACCAGUUUGCAUUCCCACCAGCAGU